rfam:Arthrospira platensis NIES-39 DNA, nearly complete genome.
UGAUCAAGCUAGGGGUGCCUGCGAAGUCCAGGCUGAGAGACACCCUUGGAACCUGAGUCCGGCUAGUACCGGCGUAGGGAAGCUGUAACUAACAGAG